CAAUAAGUGUUCAAUGGCACUUUAAAAUCCAUUACCCACCUUGUGUGCAAUGUAAGGAGGAGGGUGUCAGGCUUUCUUGUCUGGCUCCUCUUUCAUUAUACAUACCAAUCUUCUCUUGUUGUCUAACUUUUUGAGUAUAAAAACUCGAAUA
rnacentral:misc_RNA from 1 species